AUGGCCGGCACGCGUUGGGUACUCGGGGCGCUGCUCCGGGGCUGCAGCUGUAACUGCAGCAGCUGCCGGCAAACCGGAGCCGCCUGCCUGCCCUUCUACUCUGCCACUGGGUCUAUCCCGUCGGGCGUCUCGGGCCGGGGCCGCCGCGGCCGCUGCCUCCCAGACGCGUGGCCUCCAGACCGGGCCUGUGCCUCCCGGGAGGCUGGCGGGGCCUCCCCCUGUGGCCACCUCUGCCGCGGCCGCGGCCGCCGCGUCCUACCCUGUCCUCCGUGCCCCUCUGCUGCCGCAGUCGCUGGCGGCGGCUGCGGCGGGCCCGACGCGCAGCUACAGCCAGGAGUCCAAAACUACUUACCUGGAAGACCUUCCACCACCCCCUGAGUGUGAAUUGGCCCCGUCCAAGUUAGAAGAGGAAGUGGAUGAUGUCUUUCUCAUUCGAGCUCAAGGACUGCCCUGGCCGUGCACUGUGGAAGAUGUGCUUAACUUUUUCUCAGACUGCAGAAUCCGCAACGGUGAGAAUGGAAUACACUUUCUCCUAAAUAGAGAUGGGAAACGAAGGGUGAUGCCUUAAUUGAAAUGGAGUCAGAGCAGGAUGUGCAGAAAGCCUUAGAGAGGCACCGCAUGUGCAUGGGCCAGCGGUAUGUGGAAGUAUAUGAGAUAAACAAUGAAGAUGUGGAUGCCUUAAUGAAGAGCUUGUCUGUGGUAAAUGAUGGUGUGGUUCGUUUGAGAGGACUUCCUUAUAGUUGCAAUGAGAAAGACAUUGUAGACUUCUUUGCAGGACUGAGUAUAGUUGACAUUACUUUUGUGAUGGACUACAGAGGGAGACGAAAAACGGGAAGCCUAUGUGCAAUUUGAAGAACCAGAAAUGGCCAACCAAGCCCUGUUGAAACACAGGGAAGAAAUUGGUAAUCGAUACAUUGAGAUAUUUCCAAGCAGAAGGAAUGAAGUUCGAACACAUGUUGGUUCUUAUAAGGGAAAGAAAAUCACAUCUUUUCCUACUGCUAAGUAUAUAACUGAGCCAGAAAUGGUCUUUGAAGAACAUGAAGUAAAUGAGGAUAUUCAACCCAUGACAGCUUUUGAAAGUGAGAAGGAAAUAGAAUUGCCUGAGGAGGUGCCAGAAAAGCUUCCAGAGGCUGCUGGUUUUGGAAAUACGUCUUCUCUGCAUUUUGUCCACAUGAGAGGAUUACCUUUCCAAGCCAAUGCCCAAGACAUUAUAAACUUUUUUGCUCCACUCAAGCCUGUUAGAAUCACCAUGGAAUACAGCUCCAGUAGGAAGGCCACUGGAGAAGCUGAUGUGCACUUUGAGACCCAUGAGGAUGCUGUUGCAGCGAUGCUCAAGGAUCGGUCCCACGUUCAUCAUAGGUAUAUUGAACUGUUCUUGAAUUCAUGUCCAAAAGGAAAAUAAGACUCCAGGGGCUCCAGAUAAUAAGGGUGAAACAAGAAGCAUUUCAUUUGCACAUCUUUCUUGGACAUGGGAUAUACAGUUCCAGUUUAUUAGCAGCAACUGCUAGGGAAAUGAUUUUGGUGUUUUGGGUUAAUUGCUUCUAAGAAAAGUUUCAUAGUGGACUGUUUAGAAGAAGAAAUGAAAGAUCCAGUUUGGGAUUAUGAAAUAAACCACAAAUUAAAAUUU